rnacentral:rRNA from 1 species
AUGGACAGCGGCGGCAACAGGAGCGGCGCUGCCGGGGGAGGGGACGGCGCGUGCAGCGGCGGCCACCUGUGCCACCUGUGCGGGUACAAGUACGCGAGCGCGCACCCCAGCGCCAAGCAGCGGCGCGCGCACCGCAAGAACUGCGGCGCUGGCGGCGGCAAGUCGCCGCCCACCGCCGCCGCCGCCGCCAGUGCGGAGGCAGAGGAAGAGCGCCAAGGCAAGAAAUUGGUGCCAGGUGAGGAUGUCGGAGGAGAGGGAAAUGGGGCGCCUGCUUCGGAUUCUGGCGCCGUUUUGCCCGGAUCUGCGGAGGAUGUUGGGAACGCAGUAGAUGACGACGACACUGGAGUGCACUCUUCCUCUAAUAGUGCCGGAGUUGACGUCAUUAUCAAUGAUGUGACUUCUGAAGGGCCUCCUAAGGCUAAUGGAACUGACGUUCAAACUGAAGUUGAUCUGCCGCUGCCUGAAAGCGCACCGCAUUUUCAAGAUUUGUAUCCGUCUGAAUCACAUUGUAGUGGUGAUCAGCAUCAGGAUGCCUCCGCUUCCCAUUGUCAGUCAGAGCCUGAAGAUGGUGCAAGAUUCAGUCCAGACUUCUCUGCAGAUGAAACAAGCAAGUCUAAUGCUGUGUCCCUGGCAUCAGAUGCCGCUUCAGGUGAAUUUUCUGCACAAACAAUUGCUACAGCUGGUAGCACUGAUGGUAUUGCCGUUACUGAAAACGAUUGUAUGAUCAACACCAUUGAUGAAGACAAAACUAGUGAGGGCAUGUUGGUAAAAGGUAAUGAGGUUGAUUCGUUCUAUCAAGAGAAGCUGCAAACCAAAAUUGUUGAGGGGCAUAGUCCUACUACAGUGGAGGAAGAUCUAUAUGUCAACAACUUAGGUGUGGUUCCCGGAGAGCAAAACCCCAGUGAAGACACUGAAUCCAAGGACGAAAGCAGGGUUAUCGAACCUAACCCAGUUGAGCAAGUUUGUACCAUCAAGGAACCUGUCGAUGUACUUGGGAAUAAGGAGCCUUAUACUGAUAAUAAUGCCCACACAGAUGAUACCAGUAGUGAUGAUUUAUCUCAACUUGCUUCUGGUGGUUGUCAUUUGGAGGCAGCAGAUGUUGUCGAAACACAACAGGAAAUUGAUUCUACUUCUGUGGUAGCAGAUCAGCUGACAAACUCCAAACAGACGGGCCUUGAAGAAGGGUCAAGCUAUCCUGGUGCAGAUGAGGUUACCCAAGCUGUAUCAAGUGCAACAGAGCCUGCUGUGGAUAGUCCUGUUGCUGAGGUCAUAUCAGCUGGUAGUGCUUCUGAUGUUACAAAGAAAGAUACCUCCGAGGUGACAACAGAAGAUGACACACAGAAUAAUUCAAGCCAUACAAGUGAUGUCAUUUCCAUGCCAUCUCAAAUUGACCCAAUAGAGCCUAGCUUAGACCCUACUCAGGAGAUCAGUAUGAGUAGCGAGCAUGAUGUUGAUGAGAAUAAACAAAUUGAGAACGUUAGUGUGGACCUUACCUCCCGUGAGACUAAUGAUGUAUGCAGUACGGAUAACAUCGAAGAGAUUAAGCAGAUUGAAGAAAUCAGUGCAGAAGAUGGUACUCUGAAGACCAGCAUAUUACAGAGUGCAAGUAGUGUUGAGGAAAAAGAACAGAUUGAAGAGGUGAUAGCAGAUCCUGCUUCUGACAGUAUCGAUGUGAUAAGCAGCAGAGACAUAAUUGUGCAAAAGGAACAGAGUGUUGUCCAUGUCGGAACUGCUCAUGAGAUAAAUGUGGUGGAUAUCCCAGCUAUAGUUGAAUCAGAGAAGCACGGUGAAGAAACUACCGCAGACCUCCCAGCUAUAGUUGAAUUAAAGAAGCACGGUGAAGAAACUGCCACAGACCUCCCAGCUAUAGUUGAAUUAGAGAAGCAUGGUGAAGAAACUACCGCAGACCUCCCAACUAUAGUUGAAUUAGAGAAGCACGGUGAAGAAACUACCGCAGACCCUACUGCUCAGAUGACGAACAUUAUUACAGAUAAAGUUGAAGAAAAGAAGCAAGAUGAAGAAAUUACGCCAGGUCCUGCUCCUCAUGCUAUUAAUGUGAUACACGAAGACAAUAUGCAGAAUGAAGACAUGACAGAGAUCCCUAGUUCUCACGAAAAUGUACUUGACGACACAGAUAUUGUUAAAGAGAAGGGUGAAGAAACUAUGUCAGAGCCAACCUCUCACAACACUGAUGCGGUAAGCAUUGUUGAUGCCGUUGAAGGAAAGGAGAAAGAAGAGGUAACUCCAGAAUCUACUCUUGAUGUUAGCUUGGUCCACACCAUUGACAAUGUCAAAGGAAAGGAGAGUGAAGAGCCUACUUCGGACCCUACAUCCGUCAAUGCCGGAGGCAAUGCAGGUACUAUCCUUGUCGCGGACUCUAGUUCUCACAUGAACAGCACACCACAGGGCACAAAUGAUGCCAAAGAAGAGGACCGGGAUGAAAACACUGCCGCGGACCAUGCUCGGACUGAUGGUGUUGAAGAAAAGAAGCAGAAGGAAGAGACUGCAGCAGAGACCAACACCAAGGAUAGCGCAAAUGACCAUCCAAAUGAAGAGAUCACAGACAAGGAAAUGACAAUAGAUUCAGAUAAGAGCCAUGUGUCCCUGAAGUCCCUUCUCUCCGAGAAAGGCAUUGAAUUUGAAGUUAAAGAAAAGAAGGCGAGCACCAAGGACCGAAUGCUGUCGUUCAGGCGCCGAUCGUCGAAGGACAACCCUUCGCCUGUCAAGCCUGGUUCCGAGCAGCAAGACUGGAACUCUCCGGCCAGGUUACCGGUGGAGAAGUCGCCGAAAGGGAAGAAGCAGCAGUGGAUGCCGUUUAUUUGCUGCCACUCCAUGAACUGA